AUACGGAGGAUCCGAGCGUUAUCCGGAUUUAUUGGGUUUAAAGGGUGCGCAGGCGGCCAUUUAAGUCAGCGGUUAAAUCGUGGGGCUCAACCCCAUUCUGCCGUUGAUACUGGGUGGCUUGAUUGCGGUCGAGGUUGGCGGAAUUCGUUGUGUAGCGGUGAAAUGCAUAGAUAUGACGAAGAACACCGAUUGCGUAGGCAGCUGACCAGACCGCAAAUGACGCUCAUGCACGAAAGUGCGGGGAUCGAACAGGAUUAGAUACCCUGGUAGUCCGCACAGUGAACGAUGAAUACUUGUUUUCGGCGAUAUAAUGUCGGAGGCAAAGCGAAAGCGAUAAGUAUUCCACCUGGGGAGUACGCCGGCAACGGUGAAACUCAAAUGAAUUGACGGGG
rnacentral:rRNA from 1 species